rnacentral:rRNA from 1 species
AGCGAACGCUGGCGGCAGGCCUAACACAUGCAAGUCGAACGGAUCCUUCGGGAUUAGUGGCGGACGGGUGAGUAACACGUGGGAACGUGCCCUUUGGUUCGGAACAACUCAGGGAAACUUGAGCUAAUACCGGAUGUGCCCUUCGGGGGAAAGAUUUAUCGCCAUUGGAGCGGCCCGCGUCUGAUUAGCUAGUUGGUGAGGUAAAGGCUCACCAAGGCGACGAUCAGUAGCUGGUCUGAGAGGAUGAUCAGCCACAUUGGGACUGAGACACGGCCCAAACUCCUACGGGAGGCAGCAGUGGGGAAUCUUGCGCAAUGGGCGAAAGCCUGACGCAGCCAUGCCGCGUGAAUGAUGAAGGUCUUAGGAUUGUAAAAUUCGUUCGCAGGUGAAGAUAAUGACGGUAACCUGAGAAGAAGCCCCGGCUAACUUCGUGCCAGCCGCCGCCAUAAGAC